rnacentral:rRNA from 1 species
UACAGAGGUCUCAAGCGUUGUUCGGAUUCAUUGGGCGUAAAGAGCGUGUAGGCGGUCCGGUAAGUCCGCUGUGAAAGUCGGGGGCUCAACCCUCGAAUGCCGGUGGAUACUGUCGGGCUAGAGUGCGGAAGAGGUGAGUGGAAUUCCUGGUGUAGCGGUGAAAUGCGCAGAUAUCAGGAGGAACACCUAUUGCGAAGGCAGCUCGCUGGGACGUAACUGACGCUGAGACGCGAAAGCGUGGGGAGCAAACAGG